GAUGAACGCUGGCGGCAUGCCUAACACAUGCAAGUCGAUCGGUAAGGCUCUUCGGAGUACACGAGAGGCGGACGGCUGAGUAACGCGUAGGAACACACCCUGCAGUGAGGGAUAAGACACCGAAAGGUGUUCUAAUACCGCAUACGGUCUUCGGAUUAAAGCAUUUAUGCGCUGAAGGAGUGGCCUGCGUCAUAUUAGAUAGUUGGUGAGGUAAUGGCUCACCAAGUCGAUGAUGUGUAGCUGGUCUGAGAGGAUGAUCAGCCAGACUGGAACUGAGACACGGUCCAGACUCCUACGGGAGGCAGCAGUGAGGAAUAUUCCACAAUGAGCGAAAGCUUGAUGGAGCAAUGCCGCGUGCAGGAUGAAGGCCCUCGGGUUGUAAACUGCUUUUAUAAGAGAAGAUUAUGACGGUAACUUAUGAAUAAGGGACGGCUAACUACGUG
rnacentral:rRNA from 1 species